CGUCUAGAGGUUGUGACACCGCCCUUUCACGGCGGUAACAGGGGUUCGAAUCCCCUAGACGCCA
rnacentral:tRNA from 1 species